ensembl:ncRNA lncRNA:CR45973 long non-coding RNA:CR45973
CAGAUUCGCACGAAAUUGUGGAAGGUGAAGUUCUCGAAGUGAGUGAGCGAGUGCUUUGGAUGGGAAGUGCAUGAUGCACGGCCGUGAUGUGGCUUUUAUAAAAAAAGUAGAUUAGGUUGUGGCACGUGGUCUGGGGAUUGCACUUGCAGUGGAACUCUGAUGAAUGUUAAUGUCAUGCGGUCAUUUCAGACCCAUAAGACCUAUGAAAGUAAGUUGGAUUCAAUCAAGGUUUCAGGUCAGGGUAAACUAGGCAUAUAUAAAUAUAUAUUAAGACAUGCCAUUGAAUCCCUUAUAUAUGCAGAUAUAGAAUGCAGAUAUUAUACUUAAGAUAAUAUUUGUCUAUCUGCAAACUACAAGUGUGUGUAAACUUCUCGCGCGGCAAAUCGUAUCUAGCAUCGCAAAAGAUACACUCUCACUAGUUCGAGCGUGCAGUAUCUGUAUGUGGUUAUGGGUAUGAAACACAACAGGUUGUCGGCGGUGUUUGGAGAAAGUGCUUAGUGCCAACAAUACCAUCAGGUGCAAUGACCACAUAGGUAUACCUAGUCGGUGGAUGGUUGGUUCGAAAAAUCGUAUAAAUUGUCAUGGAAACGCGACGCUCUGUGGAAGGCUAAACAUGCGAGGGAACUUGAUCUGAUUAAAGCCCCAUAAUCAACUAAGGGAGUUUUCCGACGAAAAGAUUGGCCAUAUAACUACUAAGAAAUACCUAAAGCUUGUCCAACAUUAGACAAGCUGCAUACCGUUAAUAUAAACUAUUAUAACUUUCUUUUCGUACAAAGAGAAACAUAACAAUGCAAUGGUUAAGUCCGUUGAACUUUAACUAUUUAAUGUCUUUGGAGCUUAGAUAAGGAGAUACAUAACUUUAUAUGGUAAAGAUAUCUUUAAUAUUACUUGAUUUAAACGUCUUGAACUUUGAUAAGAAGAUACUUACCAUUACAUAUUGUAAAUUUCUAUUUAACAUAACUUCUUGAACUACCCAAAUCUAAAUGGUUACAUAAACUCCAAAAUUACUCAUGGAAGGAUUGGAGUACUCAAUCUUUCAGAUGCGUCUACUGCUUCCACAUUUCUUCCGCUUGAAGGCCGCAAACAAGGGUUCAAGUACAGCAAACACUUUCUUAGUCACACGUACAUACAUAUCUCUUCUCUGCGUAGGUGGUGAAAAUUGCUGCCCUUUUUUCCAGUCUCAAUUCCUCACAGAUGCGUUUCCUAGAUGCCAACAUGCUGAGGAUUACCCAUUGUCCGUAAUAUUUGUAUGGAAAGGAUACCCCGUCGAAGUGCUAUUGAUGAACUCUCGCACACAUGCUUGGAAAUAUUAUUACUAGUCACGGCGUGGGAACCGAGGCAGAAAUGUCCCAAGAUCCGUGCAGAAUAUGGCAAUUUCUGGACGUAAAGCUAUCUUUUCAGAUUUGCGUUUUUGUCGUUGCAAGACCGCGGCAGUUAAUCCAAGAAACAAGUUCUCUUAUGAACAUUUCAAUCUUUCGGUCGACUGACUCAGCAUCCCUCAACGAAGUUCUACGCUUUUACGCACUAUAUAAAACAGCCUGCAGUCGAAAAGGACCUCUCAAUAGUCCUGUGCACCACCUGCUUCCUGUGGAAUGAUGCUGGGAUUCCGAGAUAUUCUUGCAGCUGAACAUAUGCGCCUACGCUUCUUGGUUUUAUAAUUUUAAGGGCUGUUCGAAUUUUCAGGAUGUCUUCGCGGGUCCUAAAAAACGAUAUAAACUGUACACAUGACGAGAAACAUAAGGGUAAUCUCUUUGCGUGGAAAUGUUUCAAAGAACUAAGCAGAAAUGGAAAUCAGGCAAUAAAAUCAUAUCAUUUAUCCCUAAGCCUUUUUUCGAAUUCCUGAAAAUGAAAAGUCCUUCUAUAGUAAACUAUUUGGCAGGAUAUCUAAGUCAUAAAAAUAAUAAAUACGGGAAAAAAAUCAAGAAACUAAUCUGCAAACUAAUCCACUGAAACACCUGAUUAUUUUGUAUACACGAAUCAAUAUAUAUUUGCAAAUAUAUAGUAUUGUAUAUGCUUAUUUACACAGUUAUAAAUAUAUAUAGUUAGUUAUUUAAAGACAUGUAUGUGUGUACUAUUAUAGUUUAACAAAUGCCAUGUGUGCAUAACGUUAAAUAAAUUUAUUUGUACGUUUGCAGAGUAAAUACGUUUUUUGUUGUGUGUAAUACCAUUUCUGCGAUAUUGUUUGCAAUAAUACACUGUAAAUAGCUAUACCUUGAUAUUAUGUAUAUAUAAUAUAAGGUACUUCGCCACAAUAUGUUAUAUACCAAAAUUCCAUUAUAUGUCUCGUUCAACGUUGGGUUUUUGGAAUGCAUAUAAUUUGAAAUGGAUUAUUUAUGUAUAUAGAGAUGCUUUAAGUACAGGACUUUAAACAGUAUCAGUUUCAAAAUAAUAAUAAAUCAAAACCAGAAACCUUUGAUUUAAC